GAUGAACGCUGGCGGCGUGCCUAAUACAUGCAAGUCGAGCGAACGGACGAGAAGCUUGCUUCUCUGAUGUUAGCGGCGGACGGGUGAGUAACACGUGGAUAACCUACCUAUAAGACUGGGAUAACUUCGGGAAACCGGAGCUAAUACCGGAUAAUAUUUUGAACCGCAUGGUUCAAAAGUGAAAGACGGUCUUGCUGUCACUUAUAGAUGGAUCCGCGCUGCAUUAGCUAGUUGGUAAGGUAACGGCUUACCAAGGCAACGAUGCAUAGCCGACCUGAGAGGGUGAUCGGCCACACUGGAGCUGAGACACGGUCCAGACUCCUACGGGAGGCAGCAGUAGGGAAUCUGCGGCAAUGGGCGAAAGCCUGACGGAGCAACGCCGCGUGAGUGAUGAAGGUCUUCGGAUCGUAAAACUCUGUUAUUAGGGAAGAACAGAUGUGUAAGUAACUGUGCACAUCUUGACGGUACCUAAGCAGAAAGCCACGGCUAACUACGG
rnacentral:rRNA from 1 species